rnacentral:rRNA from 1 species
GACGAACGCUGGCGGCGUGCUUAACACAUGCAAGUCGAACGGAAAGGCCCUGCUUUUGUGGGGUGCUCGAGUGGCGAACGGGUGCGUAACACGUGAGUAACCUGCCCUUGACUUUGGGAUAACUUCAGGAAACUGGGGCUAAUACCGGAUAGGAGCUCCUGCUGCAUGGUGGGGGUUGGAAAGUUUCGGCGGUUGGGGAUGGACUCGCGGCUUAUCAGCUUGUUGGUGGGGUAGUGGCUUACCAAGGCUUUGACGGGUAGCCGGCCUGAGAGGGUGACCGGCCACAAUGGGACUGCGAUACGGCGCAGACUCCUACGGGAGGCAGCAGUGGGGAAUAUUGUACAAUGGGCGGAAGCCUGAUGCAGCAACGCCGCGUGCGGGAUGACGGCCUUCGGGUUGUGAACCGCUGUCGCCUGUGACGAAGCGGGAGUGACGGUAAUGGGUAAAGAAGCACCGGCUAACUACGUG